AAUCAGCACAGGUCCAAGCUGGACAAGGAACAGAGAUGAAUUAUCAUUUUCUGACGUGGAACUUCCAUGUGAUGCCUCUACUCUCCAUAAAUCUCCCCUUGCAACCAAAGAACUCUCAAUGUUGUGAGUUCUGCUGUCAUAAGUUGAGGUAAUGUUUAUGGUCCCCUGCAUUCAGUGGAAAUGCAUCAUCAAAUAAACUGCACAAAUGGAAUACAAUUAAAGCCAAAUUGAUAGCCUUCAAUUAUGAUCACAGAAAGGGCAGCUGUCAUAAGUUGAGGUAAUGUUUAUGGUCCCCUGCAUUCAGUGGAAAUGCAUCAUCAAAUAAACUGCACAAAUGGAAUACAAUUAAAGCCAAAUUGAUAGCCUUCAAUUAUGAUCACAGAAAGGGCAACAGGACAAGAAUACUACAGCAGGGAAACUUUUGCUGUCCAUCUGUACUCGAAAUUCUUUUGGCCAUAAAAAAAUUAAAGAGGGUAAAAAACUACAGACAAACAAAAUGAUUCAACUGAACCAAGCUCCAUGUUACUGCCCCCUUUACACUACUAUAUCAAACACAAUCAAGAUAAUUCAACUGAACUGACCUCCAGCCAAGAACAUAAGGUUACAUGUAAUCAUAACAUGUUAUUGCCCUUUUAUUAUUACCCCACCCAGUCUUU
rnacentral:lncRNA from 1 species